UUAGUUACUACCAUUCAGUUGAGGACUCUAAUGAGACUGCCAGCGACAAGUUGGAGGAAGGUGGGGAUGACGUCAAAUCAUCAUGCCCUUUAUGACCUGGGCUACAAACGUACUACAAUGGCCAAUACAAAGAGAUGCGAAGCGGUGACGUGGAGCGAACCUCAGAAAGUUGGUCUCAGUUCAGAUUGAAGUCUGCAACUCGACUUCAUGAAGGCGGAAUCGCUAGUAAUCGCGGGUCAGCAGACCGCGGUGAAUACGUUCCCGGGUUUU
rnacentral:rRNA from 1 species